CAUGCAGACACCAUGUCUCAAAUGGAAACAUCUCGUGUCUCAUGCAGACACCAUGUCUCAGAUGGAGACACAUCUCAUGUCUCAUGCAGACACCAGGUUUCAGAUGGAGACACAUCUCAUGUCUCAUGCAGUCACCAUGUCUCAGAUGGAGACACAUCUCAUGUCACAUGCAGACACCAUGUUUCAGAUGGAGACACAUCUCAUGUCACCUAUCUCAUGACACAACGUUUUUAUGUGGUGAUAUUUUGAGAUUGAAGGCUUACAUGUUGUGUGUCUAUUUAUUGCCUCUAUAAUUAGCAUG